GAGAUUUUGGGGUUCUGAGGGGGGAAUUGGGUGAGAAAAGAGGCAAUUUUGGGGUCAGAAAUGGUAAUUUGGGGUCAGAAAAGGAGAUUUUUGGGUUCUGAGGGUGGAAUUGGGUGAGAAAAGCAGCAAUUUGGGGUCAGAAAUGGUAAUUUUGGGUCAGAAAAGGAGAUUCUGGGGGUCUGAGGGGGGAAUUGGGUGAGAAAAGCAGCAAUUUUGGGGUCAGAAAAGGGCAAUUUGGGGUCAGAAAUGGAGAAUUUGGGGUCAGAAAAGGAGACUUUUGG
rnacentral:lncRNA from 1 species